CAUUAGAAAAGGAGUAUAAGACUUAUUUAGUUUGUGUAAUGGAUACCUGAAAGGAGACCAAAUUAGAGGAUAUUCCAGUAAUGAAUGAACACCCUGAUGUUUUUCCAGAAGAUCUUCCUUGUUGAUCUCCUAAUGGAUUUUGAUGAAUACAAAACACUAGAGUAUAAUACCAUUUAUCUUAACAAUUUAAUUGAGAAUUUCAUGUGCUUUAUUAAGAAUAUUGUUAAGAAAUGUCUAGGCAAGUUUCCAUAAUUUUUAUGGAUUUAUUGAAGAAUUUUUGAGAUGAAGAAAACAGAUCAGGGACAGCCGAGACGUCUCCUGAUGGUCUCAGAGACGUCUCUGGCACAAACAGGAAGAACUGGCACGUCCGGAGACGUCCCCUGAAAAAGCGGAGUCGACUCUCUCAGAGAAUUCCAGAAGACUUGUUUUUCGGAGAUAUAACGGCGGAGUCGUCCCCGAAGCAGCGGAGUCGUCCCCAUGCAAAAAGCGCAAACAAGCGGAGACGUCCCCGUAAAGCGCGGAGACGUCCCCGGAGCGCNNNNNNNNNNNNNNNNNNNNNNNNNNNNNNNNAUGCAAAAAGCGCAAACAAGCGGAGACGUCCCCGUAAAGCGCGGAGACGUCCCCGGAGCGCCUGGGACGCGACUGACAACUUUUUCAGGUAGAUUUGAAUUUCAAACGGUCAUAUCUUUGUGUCUAACGGCUAUAUUUGCUUUUUGGGCUAUAAAAGGGAGCUCUUAAGUGCUUCUCAAAAUCUUCUCACCAACCCAACACAAGAUCAUUCAAGAGAGAAGAAAGAAAAAGAGGUUCAAGGGAGUUAGAGCUUUCAAGAGGAGAAAUCAAGUGCAUUCAAGCUUUCCCAUCUGAUUUCGAGCUCA
rnacentral:lncRNA from 1 species